rnacentral:rRNA from 1 species
AUUGAACGCUGGCGGCAGGCCUAACACAUGCAAGUCGAACGAGUGGCGGACGGGUGAGUAAUGUCUGGGACACUGCGUGAUGGAGGGGGCUAACUACUGGAAAAGGUAGCUAAUACAGCAUACCAUCGGAUGUGCCCAGAUGGGAUUAGCUAGUAGGUGGGGUAACGGCUCACCUAGACGACGAUCCCUAGAUGGUCUGAGAGGAUGACCAGCCACACUGGAACUGAGACACGGUCCAGACGCCUACGGGAGGCAGCAGUGGGGAAUAUUGCACAAUGGGCGCAAGCCUGAUGCAGCCAUGCCGCGUGUAUGAAGAAGGCCUUCGGGUUGUAAAGUACUUUCAUCGGGGAGGCGUUACCCGCAGAAUAAGCACCGGCUAACUCCGUGCCAGCAGCCGCGGUAAUUC